UCCUUAGGCAUUGAGUAACUUCGUAAUAUGGAUGUUGCCACACGGUAAUGAAAGCUAUGCAGCAAACUAAAAAGGGGAGAAAAUGUGAUCAACAGAUUAUGAGGCCAAGCAACCUAUGACAAGAGAAUAUUUAUGUUGGAAUUUGACGUUAUCAUCCUUCAUUUUUUUUUCCUUAUCUGCAUCGACCAAUUCACUAUACCUUACUUGCUUUGAUUCAUGAACAUUGGUAUUUUUUCUUUUCUCUUCGGUGGUGAUGGGUUUGGUACAAAAUGCUCUUCGGGGGUUGACGGGACGGGGGAGCGUGUCCGCUAAUGAGUUUUUGCCACCAUUGUUACUGCAAAUGAAAGCAAACCACGCAUGAUGCUCUGUUCUAAAAGGGCUGCUAUUUAAUUUGCUUCAUGUUCUUGUUUAAAGGUUUGGAGGGAUCAUGACUCUAAGCCAAGGGCAAGCAGCAUUGCUGACAUUUUGCUCCUGCAUUGGCCUUGCUAGCGUUAGCCUGGUUCCUACAAUAAUUGUUCUAGACAUUCGUAAAAACUAGUUUUGGAUCACUGCAUUGAGGCCCUUAGCGUAAUUGAAGAUUGUUUUCCAUUGAAGAGUUCGAGUUCUAGUGUUCCUCAUCUUGGAAGAGCGGAAGUCAUGUGUGAAUAUGCUAAACCCUUGAUAUGGAGGUGAGCAAUGAGGAAGGAGCUAAUUAAGGUAAAGAUGAUAGUGGCAGAAGACUAGACGCUAUCGGAGAUCGUUGUUCAGGGAAUUGAUCAGCAAGUUGAGCAGAUGAGGAAGGAGUUACAGGCUACAGCCCAAUGAGAAGGGCAUGGCUUAUUUAAAAGGCAUAUUCAAGAGAUGACCAACACCCUAGCAUUGAUGGGGUGUUGGUCAUCCAAGACUUGUAGCAAUACUUACUGCAGGGCCAUGCUGUUACUAGGAAGCUUAAUUCUAAUGAUGAGCUGCCUCAAUUUGAACAAGCCUGAAAGAAAAGUGCUAGAAAGCAUUUGCCUGAUUGGAUCGAGCAUUUUGAUGGCCAUGAUGGACGUUGCUUUGAUUGGCAUAGGUUUUACUGUUGUUACUAGUUUUAAAGAAGCAGCAUACCAUGCUUGGCUUUGGCUACUAUAACUUGAUUGAGAGAUUGGAAUGGACAAAACAACACCUGUGGAGCUAGCCAACCACU